rnacentral:piRNA from 1 species
UUCUGAUUUGCUGUGGGAUGCUCACA